rnacentral:rRNA from 1 species
GAUGAACGCUGGCGGCGUGCCUUAUACAUGCAAGUCGAGCGAACGGACGAGAAGCUUGCUUCUCUGAUGUUAGCGGCGGACGGGUGAGUAACACGUGGAUUUCCUACCUAUAAGACUGGGAUAACUUCGGGAAACCGGAGCUAAUACCGGAUAAUAUUUUGAACCGCAUGGUUCAAAAGUGAAAGACGGUCUUGCUGUCACUUAUAGAUGGAUCCGCGCUGCAUUAGCUAGUUGGUAAGGUAACGGCUUACCAAGGCAACGAUGCAUAGCCGACCUGAGAGGGUGAUCGGCCACACUGGAACUGAGACACGGUCCAGACUCCUACGGGAGGCAGCAGUAGGGAAUCUUCCGCAAUGGGCGAAAGCCUGACGGAGCAACGCCGCGUGAGUGAUGAAGGUCUUCGGAUCUUUUUACUCUGUUAUUAGGGAAGAACAUAUGUGUAAGUAACUGUGCACAUCUUGACGGUACCUAAUCAGAAAGCCACGGCUAACUACGUGCCAGCAGCCGCGGUAAUACGUAGGUGGCAAGCGUUAUCCGGAAUUAUUGGGCGUAAAGCGCGCGUAGGCGGUUUUUUAAGUCUGAUGUGAAAGCCCACGGCUCAACCGUGGAGGGUCAUUGGAAACUGGAAAACUUGAGUGCAGAAGAGGAAAGUGGAAUUCCAUGUGUAGCGGUGAAAUGCGCAGAGAUAUGGAGGAACACCAGUGGCGAAGGCGACUUUCUGGUCUGUAACUGACGCUGAUGUGCGAAAGCGUGGGGAUCAAACAGGAUUAGAUACCCUGGUAGUCCACGCCGUAAACGAUGAGUGCUAAGUGUUAGGGGGUUUCCGCCCCUUAGUGCUGCAGCUAACGCAUUAAGCACUCCGCCUGGGGAGUACGACCGCAAGGUUGAAACUCAAAGGAAUUGACGGGGACCCGCACAAGCGGUGGAGCAUGUGGUUUAAUUCGAAGCAACGCGAAGAACCUUACCAAAUCUUGACAUCCUUUGACAACUCUAGAGAUAGAGCCUUCCCCUUCGGGGGACAAAGUGACAGGUGGUGCAUGGUUGUCGUCAGCUCGUGUCGUGAGAUGUUGGGUUAAGUCCCGCAACGAGCGCAACCCUUAAGCUUAGUUGCCAUCAUUAAGUUGGGCACUCUAAGUUGACUGCCGGUGACAAACCGGAGGAAGGUGGGGAUGACGUCAAAUCAUCAUGCCCCUUAUGAUUUGGGCUACACACGUGCUACAAUGGACAAUACAAAGGGCAGCGAAACCGCGAGGUCAAGCAAAUCCCAUAAAGUUGUUCUCAGUUCGGAUUGUAGUCUGCAACUCGACUACAUGAAGCUGGAAUCGCUAGUAAUCGUAGAUCAGCAUGCUACGGUGAAUACGUUCCCGGGUCU